rnacentral:lncRNA from 1 species
UUCAGAGCUUCUUCCUUGUUACGAGUAAGUUGAUUCUGAAGAUUUGAGGUCAAAUCUUACCUCUUUAUCUUCUUUUGUUGGGUUGGAUUUUUGCUCCCCUGCUCUAAGGUUUAGGGUUAAAUCUUACCCCUUUCUCUUCUUUUGUUGGGUUAGGUUUUUGCUUCCCUACUGUAUUCGAACCUCUGUUUCUCCCGUCCUCUUGGCAAAAUUGACCUCCAGCGAAGAAGGAACUUCAAGAUGGCUUUGGAUCUGGCUGUCAGAUGCGUCGUGUUGGUGGAUGCUGAUUUAAUUUUGUUGUCUUGAGUUUACGAUUAGGGUUUCAUGUUCCUCUUGUUCCAAUUUGUUUUGGACUGUAGUACGCUGUAUUUCCCUUCCAUGGACUUUGGCCCAAACUUGUUUUCUCCUUUUAGUUAAUGAAACUGAUUCCAUAAAAAUAAGAAAUAAGUUGAGGAGUAUGACUUCAUACUGUUAGUUGGAUGUGAAAUUAUUAAGAUAGUAGAAA